ensembl:lncRNA
ACAAGAGAUUGCCGCGGAAGAGCCUGUUGUCCGUAUAUUUAUAUAUUUCCGAAAUCACAUUGUAGUGACGUGUACUGAACACAAUAUAUUAUAUAAUGUAAACAACUACCUGAGAAACAUCAGAUACAGCAGAUAAAUUAAUUAUAGGCCAUUACUUUUGUAUCGUUUAUUGUAUUUAUGGAGGGAGAGGUGUAUGCUGGGUAAUGGCACAGCUAGCGACCGGGUGACCCGCUUCGGAUGUUCAGUCCAUCAGGCGUUAUUAGCAGAAAUCAGUCCCAUAGAUGUGGGCCAUCUCCACCUGCUAGAUUGUUCAGAAGGUUGUUAUCAUCCAUCCAGAUGGAGGAUCACUAACAGGAGCGUGGAAGACUCCAGGAUCCACUCUGGCUGGAAUCCGGUGGAUACAGCAGUGUUACAGGUGUGGGGAUAAUAUGUAAGACUGCAGUGAAGUGAUGUACCAGAUGAAUCCCUGGCCAAAGAACAGUUCUCCACAGUCACUGUCCACAUGGGUCAGUGGGACCAAGAAGCACUCUGCUAAUGUGGGACUCUGACCAGCAACAUCCAGCAACAUCCAGCAAGACCCAGGCAGCG